rnacentral:rRNA from 1 species
CGUGUAGGCGGGCGAUCAAGUCAGAUGUAAAAGGCGACGGCUUAACCGUAGUAUGUCAUCUGAUACUGGUUGUCUUGAGUUCGAGAGAGGGUGGUGGAAUUCCCGGUGUAGCGGUGAAAUGCGUAGAUAUCGGGAAGAACACCUGAAGCGAAGGCGGCCGCCUGGCUCGACACUGACGCUGAGGCGCGAAAGCGUGGGGAGCAAACA